GUGCAUGCUAGUCCUACACACUUAAAAAAUUAGAAAAUUUAUAUCCAUAUGUUUUUCUUGAUCCAAAUUUUUUAUAUAUAAAGAUAUACUAAUAAAAUAUUGUUUCAUCAUAUACAUAUUCAUGUCCAAUAUUGUGCAUUUCAUAUUCUAAGCAUAUGUUAAAAAAAAGAAUUAAUUGCAUUUACGAUGAACUUAAAAUUCAUAAUAUAUACAUUGAAAGAAUAAAUCGAAUAUCAACAUUAUAUUUAAUUAAAAAGCUAGUGGACAUAACUCGCACUUGAGAUUGGGGUUGAAUGAUUAUUCUUCAUCUACUUAAAUCAAUUAAUCGUUGGCACAAAUACUAGCAUUAUCAAGAAACUUGGUGAAGAAACCUUCUAGGUGGUGGCCCAGUGGUAAGAGCUUGGGACCAAGAGGUUUACUCCCUCUGUGGUCUCAGGUUCAAGCCCUGUGGUUACUCAUAUGAUGGCCACUGAAGGCUUACAUGGUCGUUAACUUCAGGACCCGCGGGAUUAGUCGAGGUGCGCGCAAGCUGGCCUGGACACCCACGUUAAACUAAAAAAAAAAAAAAACUUGGUGAAGGACCUAAUUAGGUAGAAUACUCUCUGAUGCAUAGUAAGAUGUCAAAUACCAUCUAAAUACAAAGUAACUGAGAAAUCUCUUUAUUUCAAUUCGUGUGAUCUAAUCAUAGGUUAGGUAUGAACCAUCACGUUAACUUGUAUGAAAACUUCGUGUGAUCUAAUCUAUUUUAAAUAGUAAAAUUAUAACAUUUUUUCUUAAAUGUACCAAAUGUGAAUAUCUUAUUCACGUUAAAAUUAUAACAUUUUAUUACCUUUAGAUUUAAUUUCAAGAUAGAAUUCAAUUUUAAUGAAUAAAAAAAUUGAAAAAUUGAAAAAAAUAAUAAUUAAACACUAUAAAAAUUAUAUCAUAUUUAAGUUAAGUAUUUUAUGAGUACGAAAUUGUUUAAUAUUUUUGUUCAAACAAUUAUAACAACUUGAUAACACAAAUAAAAUUAUGAUAAUAUAGUCAAAUCAUUAAUUAUGUAUAAAUAAUUAAAUAAGUAAAAAAAUAUAGAUUUAUACAAUUAUUCAGUCACUUGCACACAUAGUAAAUUAACUAGAUUAUUGGUUUGUGCAACAUUACAUGUCAGAUAAUUUUUUUAAUAUAAAAAAAAAUCCAAGCAUAGCUAAUAUUUUUCUAGUAGAAAAAAAUAAUUGUGAAGAAGUUGACUCGAUAUAACUCGAUCGACUUGACUAGUCCAAAAACAAUCUGGAUAACUGACAAAAAUAUAAUUUGACCUAAAACAUUUCAAGAUGACAUCAUUUUUUUAAAUAUUGAGAUGACAACAUAUUAGAUCGAUUUGACUCAAUUUAAGUUAACUUUUCAAAUCCGUAACCUGGGUCAUGAGACCAUGAUAACCCUGUAUAAAGCAAAUCAAAACAAAUUAUAAAACUCAAUUUCCAAUCAAUCCAAUGAUGAAAUUAAAAAAAAAAAACUCAAGUCAACUUGAGUAAACCUGUCAAAUCCACGACUCAGGUCAUGAGACCAGGAUAACUUCAUAGAAAGUAAAUUAAAAGAAAAAGCUUAAUUCCCAAUCAACUUAAUAUUGAAAGAAUAAAUUGAAAAAAAGUCAAUAAAAAAUAACACAAAAAAUAACCACAAUCAACUUGAGUUAUGAGACCAUGAUAAUUUUAUAGAAAAUAAAUCAAAAUAAAUUAUAAAAUUUAAUUCUCAAUCAACCUAAUAUUGAAAGAAUAAAUUGAAAAAAAGUCAAUAAAAAAUAACACAGAAAACAACCACAAUAAACUUGAGUCAUGAGACCAGAAUAACCUCAAAAAAAAUAGACAAAAAAAAUAACAUGAGCCAGCCCGGGUUAAUCUACUAAGUCCAUGAUCUAGAUAAUGAGACUAUGAUAAUCUCAUAAAAAGCAAAUUAAAUAAAUUAUAAAACUCAAUUCCUGAUAAACUCAUUGUUAAAUAAUAAAAUUUAAAUUUUUUUUUUUAGAAAGACAAUAAAUGACCUGACUGCUUAGGUUAAUUAGCUGAUAAAACUCGUGAGACUAAGAUAACCUUGUAAAAAAUAAACAAUAACAAAUGAUAAAGUUUAAUUAUUUAUCAAUUCAAUGUAAAAGUUAUUGAAAUUUUUUUAAAAAGUAUUAAUUAAAAAAAAAAUCUUUUAGUAUUUGAACAUCCAUGUCCACACUCUGCUUUCUUCCGGUGCCCGAAUAAACAUAAUUAUUUGGAUUGAUUAUUUGGUUCUAAUGUUGAUGUCAAUCUUGACUUGAUAAAAACUCUUCUCAUACCUGUCUCUCCUAGUUCAUUUUCAUGGCUGUAUCUUUUGGUUUUUUAACUAGGAGUCCCACUCAAGGUUAGGUGAACUAGUGGCUUCAAAACUCAAAGCAACCUGCAAGAGAUUAACAAGGGAAAACAAAUCAGUAUCUCCAAGCAAGAAGCAUAUGAACAAUCAAAAUCAAAUAGGAAAGGUGCCUGCCUCCUCCAUGGGCAUUUUUUGUCGAUCGUCCAUCAAUUCCAAUCUCGCAAAUGGUUCGCGAUGCAUGAGCAAAAACAUGACAGUCGUCUUCCAUGUAAAAAUGCAAACAGUAAGAACUUUCUAAAUCCAUUCCUUGCACUUCCCACGUAGCUUCUCACGACCUUUUUCUUUUGCAGGAACACUAACCACCCAACCUUGCCUACGUUGAUCCUUUUCUGUAAGAAUGCUGGUCAGAAAUUCACUAAUAUGUCUGCACACCACCAGAAACAGUGUAUCAACACAAAAAAUCAUAAAACAGAGAAGAACAUCGCAUGCUUGAACAAUAAGUAGGCAUGUUUACGUGUACACAAAGCAAAAAAGGUAUCGAAGGUAUGCAAAAAUGCCGAAGUGUUGUUCAAGAACCCUUGAAAGGUUUUGUUUUGACGAACGAAAGAGGCAAUGGGUUAAAAAGCCAAAAACAACAUGCACAAUUAGCAAUGCCGAAAAAGGAUUCGAAAGAUGCAUUGAAAGCUUAAAAAAACGAGUUUUUCUUUCAACCUAAGAAGCUACAAAGCAGAAAAAAAACAUGUUGAGGAAAAAAAAGGUGCAAAACCAUCUCAUAGCUAACAAAAAGAAAAAAAAAAGCACAAACCAACUUGUUCUUAGAGCUGGCAAGAAAACAGUGGUGAAAGAGGCAUAGUCAUGACCAGCAAAAAGGACCUCAACUGCCAGCUGAAAAGGCUAUCAUUGUUUAAGUUUUUUGCAAGUGCUGGAAACUGUAGUAAAUAAUUUCAAGAAAGAAGGGUGGCAACGAAGAGACUAAACCUGUGAAGAACAACAAAAAGACGCCCAAGCUCGCAUCGAAGCCAGGAUACAUGAAAGUGGAACAACAAAACCAAGGGAAAAGGCAGAACCACAGCCAUCAUGCUUGAACAAUAAUUCCAAGG
rnacentral:lncRNA from 1 species